UGCAAGACGGAGGUAACAGAUUGCACAAACACAUUGAAACAUUUUCAGCUGUUCACUAACACUGUUACAUUUUCUGGAAUUUCCAAUUGAAUGGGAAAAUACGUAAGUAAGAUAGAGAAAAACUAUCGACAUUCUAAACAUAUUGUAAUAUUAACUUGCUAGAAUAGGAGAGACGAAUGCCCAAUUUUUCAAGAAGAAGAAAACGAAAAGCGCAGUUUAUUUUGGUUUUUACAGAGAGUAAACAAAAAAGAUUAACAACGAGAAAAAGAAAUCAUUUGGAGCGUUUGGAUGCGUAUAACAAAGACGCACCAUUCAAUUAGCCGCAUCACCGGUGACUUGGAGGACGAGCAUUACAUGGAGCUCGCUAUUAGUUUAAGUAAAUAUUUCUUUAUUUUGAUGUUAUUAUUAAAUAAAGCGAAAUAAUAAAAAAACUGAAUUUUAUUUAAAAGAAAUGAAUUUGCUAGAAGUAGCAAAUGGGUAACAGAUAAUCUUGUUACUGCUUGUUCUUGCUAACAUGCUUAUAUGUUAUAGGUAACAAACUGAUAACGAAAAUAAUAACACUAACAGAUAUUCGGGUAACAAAUACUUUUUGUUAACCAUAACACAUAGGUAAGCAAUGCGCUAACAAAAGAAUUUGUUACCCGUAACAUACUGUGAAGAGAUUUGCUAACAAAUGCAUGUAUUCUGUUAGAACAAGGCAGCAUGCGAUAUUUGCCAUUGGUUAAAGCGAGAUAACCAUUGAACAUCAAAUAGCUAUGUGUUACUUUUUUCCCACUCUCUGAACAAAAGUAACAAAUAUUUUAACGAAUGCAAAAGUGAACAAUAACAAGCCGCUUACACGUUUGCUAACAGCUACCCGUCUU